rnacentral:rRNA from 1 species
CCUACGGGAGGCAGCAGUAGGGAAUAUUGCUCAAUGGAGGAAACCCUGAAGCAGCCAAGCCGCGUGGAGGAUGAAGGUUCUAGGAUUGUUAAACCCCUUUGUUACAGAAGUUAAUUACGUUAUCUAUCGCAUAUGCCCCGGAUAACUCCGUGCCAGCCGCCGUGGUAAUAUGGCAGGUGCCAGCGUUACUCGGAAUCCCUGGGCGUAAAGCGCGCGUAGGCGGGAUAGCAAGUCAGUUGUGAAAUCCUGUGGCUUAACCAUAGAACUGCAUUGGAAACUGUGACGCUUGAGUAUGGGAGAGGUAGGUGGAAUUCUUGGUGUAGGGGUAAAAUCCGGAGAGAUCAAGAGGAAUACUCAUUGCGAAGGCGGCCUGCUAGAACAUUACUGACGCUGAUGCGCGAAAGCGUGGGGAGCAAACAGGAUUAGAUACCCGGGUAGUC